GUGGGAGUGGAGUAAAGACAGAGAGUGACUUGUCUGGGAUGACUUGAAGGGGUAGAAAGGCUGGACAACAGCCAGAGGAUGUUAUCUUACUUAGCUUACUUUGCUCACUUAGCUCACUUAUCUUACUUUGCUUUCACUUACUUGCUUGCUUCACUAGUGCU